GGUUCAUUCAAAUUUCUGCCCUAUCAACUUUCGAUGGUAGGAUAUAGGCCUACCAUGGUUUCAACGGGUAACGGGGAAUUAGGGUUCUAUUCCGGAGAGGGAGCCUGAGAAACGGCUACCACAUCCAAGGAAGGCAGCAGGCGCGCAAAUUACCCAAUCCCGGCCGGGGAGGUAGUGACAAUAAAUACUGAUACAGGGGGCUUCUGCCUCUUGUAAUUGGAAUGAGUACAAUUUAAAUCUCUUAACGAGGAACAAUUGGAGGGCAAGUCUGGUGCCAGCAGCCGCGGUAAUUCCAGCUCCAAUAGCGUAUAUUAAAGUUGUUGCAGUUAAAAAGCUCGUAGUUG
rnacentral:rRNA from 1 species